rnacentral:rRNA from 1 species
GAAUUUUGGACAAUGGGGGCAACCCUGAUCCAGCCAUCCCGCGUGUGCGAUGAAGGCCUUCGGGUUGUAAAGCACUUUUGGCAGGGCAGAAAAGGCUCUGGCUAAUACCUGGAGCUGCUGACGGUACCUGCAGAAUAAGCCCCGGCUACCUACGCGCGAGCAGCCGCGGUAAGACGUAGGGUGCAAGGGUUAAUCGGAAUUACGGGGCGUAAGGGGUGCGCAGGCGGUUCGGCAAGAAGGAUGUGAAAGCCCAGGGCUUAACCUUGGAACUGCAUUCUUAACUGCCGGGAUAGAGUAUGUCAGAGGGGGGUAGAAUUCCGCGUGUAGCAGUGAAAUGCGUAGAGAUGCGGGGGAAUACCGAUGGCGAAGGCAGCCCCCUGGGAUAAUACUGACGCUCAUGCACGAAGCGUGGGGAGCAAAC